UACAGAGGGGGCAAGCGUUGUUCGGAAUUACUGGGCGUAAAGCGCGUGUAGGCGAUGGCGUAAGUCGGGUGUGAAAUCCCUCAGCUCAACUGAGGAAGUGCAUUCGAUACUGUGUCGCUUGAAUGUCGGAGGGGAUGGCGGAAUUCCCGGUGUAGAGGUGAAAUUCGUAGAUAUCGGGAGGAACACCUGUGGCGAAGGCGGCCAUCUGGACGACGAUUGACGCUGAGACGCGAAAGCGUGGGUAGCAAACAGG
rnacentral:rRNA from 1 species